rnacentral:rRNA from 1 species
ACUCCUACGGGAGGCAGCAGUGGGAAUCUUAGACAAUGGGCGCAAGCCUGAUCUAGCCAUGCCGCGUGUGUGACGAAGGUCUUAGGAUCGUAAAGCACUUUCGCCGGGAAGAUAAUGACGGUACCCGGUAAAGAAACCCGCGUACAUCCGUGCCAGCAGCCGCGGUAAUACGGAGGGGGUUAGCGUUGUUCGGAAUUACUGGGCGUAAAGCGCAUGCAGGUGGUUUGUUAAGUCAGAUGUGAAAGCCCGGGGCUCAACCUCGGAAUUGCAUUUGAAACUGGCAGACUAGAGUACUGUAGAGGGGGUGAGAAUUUCAGGUGUAGCGGUGAAAUGCGUAGAGAUCUGAAGGAAUACCGGUGGCG